CUCAGAAACUCAAUGAAUUGACGGGGCCGCACAAGCGGAGGAGCAUGUGGUUAAUUCGAUGAUACGCGAGGACCUUACCUGGGCUCGAACGUAAGAUGACUGUAGGUGAAAGCUUACAUCUCUUCGGAGCAUUUUACGAGGUGCUGCAUGGUUGUCGUCAGCUCGUGCCGUGAGGUGUCGGGUUAAGUCCCAUAACGAGCGCAACCCUACCUUUAGUUGCCAUCAGGUUAAGCUGGGGACUCUAAAGGAACUGCCUACGCAAGUAGUGAGGAAGGCGGGGAUGACGUCAAAUCAGCACGGCCCUUACGUCCAGGGCUACACACGUGCUACAAUGGCCGAUACAGAGGGCAGCUACCUGGUGACAGGAUGCAAAUCUCCAAAGUCGGUCUCAGUUCGGAUCGGAGUCUGCAACCCGACUCCGUGAAGUUGGAUUCGCUAGUAAUCGCGCAUCAGCCAUGGCGCGGUGAAUACGUUCCCGGGCCUU
rnacentral:rRNA from 1 species